GCUUGCUUUCUUUGCUGGCGACCGGCGCACGGGUGAGUAACACGUAUCCAACCUGCCCUUUACUCGGGGAUAGCCUUUCGAAAGAAAGAUUAAUACCCGAUAGUAUAAUGAUUCCGCAUGGUUUCAUUAUUAAAGGAUUCCGGUAAAGGAUGGGGAUGCGUUCCAUUAGGUUGUUGGUGGGGUAACGGCCCACCAAGCCUUCGAUGGAUAGGGGUUCUGAGAGGAAGGUCCCCCACAUUGGAACUGAGACACGGUCCAAACUCCUACGGGAGGCAGCAUG
rnacentral:rRNA from 1 species